rnacentral:rRNA from 1 species
GACGAACGCUGGCGGCGUGCUUAACACAUGCAAGUCGUACGGUAAGGCCCUUUCGGGGGUACACGAGUGGCGAACGGGUGAGUAACACGUGAGUAACCUGCCCACAACUUUGGGAUAACGCUAGGAAACUGGUGCUAAUACUGGAUAUGUGCUCCUGCUGCAUGGUGGGGGUUGGAAAGCUCCGGCGGUUGUGGAUGAACUCGCGGCCUAUCAGCUUGUUGGUGGGGUAGUGGCCUACCAAGGCGGCGACGGGUAGCCGGCCUGAGAGGGUGACCGGCCACAUUGGGACUGAGAUACGGCCCAGACUCCUACGGGAGGCAGCAGUGGGGAAUAUUGCACAAUGGGCGCAAGCCUGAUGCAGCAACGCCGCGUGCGGGAUGACGGCCUUCGGGUUGUAAACCGCUUUCAGCAGGGACGAAGCUUUUUGUGACGGUACCUGCAGAAGAAGCACCGGCUAACUACGUG